GGCGGCGCCGGUCCGUCGGCAGCUGCUGCAGUUGCAGCCACAACCCCGGAGCAACGCCCCUAGUACCCAGCGCGUCCCGGCCAUCGGCUCCGAAGGCGGCGCGGGGCCUGGAGGUUGCCGCGGUGGCGCGAGCGGAGGGGAAGUGGAAGCCAGGGCGGGGGAGGGGGCACCGGGCACAGGCGCCGCGCGCACCCGGGCCUCAGACGAGGCUCGGAGGCGGAGGAGAGCGAGCGGCUCCGCCUUCGGGGCGGGGCUUCCCCGCCGGUAAGGGAGUGGAUGGCGUGACCUGGGAACCUCUGGAGUGGAAACCUUCCCAGGCCCUGCAGCUCAGGGACGAGGAAGUGUGUUUACAGCAGUUUAUACCAUCAUAUAAACAAAGUCCAUACCUUUACUCCGGAGGAUACCAUUCGCAAUGAUUCAGCUACUGUAUGACUCCACUAUGCUUCCUUGUAGUCAAUCUCCUAAGGAUGCCAUUGGACUUCAAAGAAAGGGCAUUUCCCAUGCUUAUGGAAUGGAAGAUGACACGAAGCUGACUUCAAAGUUGGAUUGUAAAGAAAUAAAGAUUAACAAAAUAAAGGACAGACCUAGGCUAUUCAAAGCCCAGGGAAUUUUUUUCCCCCCUGAAAGAGAACCUGAAGAAUUCAAUGAAUUUCAAGUGGCUUAUAGCGGGGAUUUGGGGCUGGUGAGUAGGUAUGGAAAUUAAAGGGCCUCAUGCA